rnacentral:rRNA from 1 species
GACGAACGCUGGCGGCGUGCUUAACACAUGCAAGUCGAACGAAGUGGCGAACGGGUGAGUAACGCGUAAUCAACCUGCCCUUCAGAGGGGGACAACAGUUGGAAACGACUGCUAAUACCGCAUACUGAAGGAGGGGAGUGCGUGUGAUUAGCUAGUGGGCGGGGUAACGGCCCACCAAGGCGAUGAGACGUAGUCGGUUUGAGAGUAUGAACGUCGACGUUGGGGCGGAGACACGGCCCUGACGCCUACUGGAGGCAGCAGUGGGGAAGCUUCCGCAAUGUAGGAGAGUGUGACGAUGCAACACCGCGUGAGUGAUGACGGCCUUCGGGUUGUAAAGCUCUGUUAAUCGGGACGCAGUACCGGAAUAGAAAGCCACGGCUAACUACGUGCCAGCAGCGCCGGUAAUUCCC